rnacentral:rRNA from 1 species
CCUACGGGUGGCAGCAGUCGAGAAUCAUUCACAAUGGGGGAAACCCUGAUGGUGCGACGCCGCGUGGGGGAAUGAAGGUCUUCGGAUUGUAAACCCCUGUCAUGUGGGAGCAAAUUAAAAAGAUAGUACCACAAGAGGAAGAGACGGCUAACCCUGUGACAGCAGCCGCGGUAAUACAGAGGUCUCAAGCGUUGUUCGGAAUCACUGGGCGUAAAGGGUGCGUAGGCUGGUUCGUAAGUCGUGUGUGAAACGCGCGGGCUCAAACCGCGGACGGCACAUGAUACUGCGAGACUUGAGUAAAGGAGAGGGAGCCGGAAUUCUCGGUGUAGCAGUGAAAUGCGUAGAUA